CCUACGGGUGGCAGCAGUGGGGAAUAUUGCACAAUGGGGGAAACCCUGAUGCAGCGACGCCGCGUGUAUGAAGAAGGCAUUCGGUAUGUAAAGCUCUAUCAGCAGGGAAGAAAAUGACGGUGCUUGUGUCUGAAGCCCCUGAUAACUACGUGCGAGCAGCCGCGGUAAUACGUAGGGGGCACGCGUUAUCCGGAUUUACUGGGUGUAAAGGGCGCGUAGACGGCAGUGCAAGUCCGGAGUGAAAGGCGCGGGCUCAACCCCCGGACUGCUCUUGAAACUGGCCGGCUGGAGUGUAGUAGAGGUAAGUAGAAUUCCUGGUGUAGCGGUGAAAUGCGUAGAUAUUUGGAGGAACACCAGUGGCGAAGGCGGCUUACUGGACUGAAACUGACGUUGAGGUGCGAAAGCGUGGGGAGCAAACAGGAUUAGAUACCCUUGUAGUC
rnacentral:rRNA from 1 species